rnacentral:rRNA from 1 species
AGAGUUUGAUCCUGGCUCAGAAUGAACGCUGGCGGAGUGCUUAAUACAUGCAAGUCGUGCGAGAAAGUUUCUUCGGAAAUGAGUAGAGCGGCGAACGGGUGAGUAACACGUAAAUAACCUGCCCUUAAGUCUGGGACAACCUUGCUAACGCGAGGCUAAUACCGGAUGUGAUGAUGAAAACUCCUGUUUUCUUCAUUAAAGGUCCUUCGGGAUUGCUUAAGGAUGGAUUUGCGGACCAUUAGUUAGUUGGUAGGGUAAUGGCCUACCAAGACGAUGAUGGUUAGCCGACCUGAGAGGGUGAUCGGCCACAUUGGGACUGAGACACGGCCCAGACUCCUACGGGAGGCAGCAGUAGGGAAUCUUGCGCAAUGGACGAAAGUCUGACGCAGCAACUCCGCGUGGAGGAUGACGGUUUUCGGAUUGUAAACUCCUUUUAUUUGGGAAGAAUAGGUAGUGUAGGUAAUGACACUACUCUGACGGUACCAUUUGAAUAAGCAACGGCUAAAUACGUGCCAGCAGCCGCGGUAAUACGUAUGUUGCAAGCGUUAUUCGGAAUCACUGGGCGUAAAGAGUUCGUAGGCGGAUUUUCAAGUCAGAAGUGAAAUUUUGGGGCUCAACCCCGAAACUGCUUUUGAAACUGUUAAUCUUGAGUAUGUGAGAGGUAGAUGGAAUUUCUGGUGUAGCGGUGGAAUGCGUAGAUAUCAGAAAGAACACCGAUGGCGAAGGCAAUCUACUGGCACAAUACUGACGCUGAGGAACGAAAGCGUGGGGAGCGAACAGGAUUAGAUACCCUGGUAGUCCACGCCGUAAACGAUGGACACUAGUUGUCGGGAAGCUUGACUUCUCGGUGACGUAGCUAACGUGUUAAGUGUCCCGCCUGGGGAGUACGUCCGCAAGGAUGAAACCCAAAGGAAUUGACGGGGGCCCGCACAAGCGGUGGAGCAUGUGCUUUAAUUCGAUGCAACGCGGAGAACCUUACCUGGUCUUGACAUACCAUUGACCGCUACAGAGAUGUAGUUUUUUCUUCGGAAACAGUGGAUACAGGUGCUGCAUGGUUGUCGUCAGCUCGUGUCGUGAGAUGUUGGGUUAAGUCCCGCAACGAGCGCAACCCUUGUCCUUAGUUGCUAGCAGGUAAUGCUGAGAACUCUAAGGAGACUGCCUACGCAAGUAGGAGGAAGGUGAGGAUGACGUCAAAUCAUCAUGGCCCCUUACGACCAGGGCUAGACACGUGCUACAAUGGACGGUACAAUGGGUUGCUACACAGCGAUGUGAUGCUAAUCUCAAAAAACCGUUCUCAGUUCGGAUAGGAGUCUGCAACUCGACUCCUUGAAGUUGGAAUCGCUAGUAAUCGUGGAUCAGAAUGCCACGGUGAAUACGUUCCCGGGCCUUGUACACACCGCCCGUCAAGCCACGGAAGUUGGUUGUGCCCAAAAUCGUUUCAUUAACCUUCGGGAUGUGAGCGACUAAGGUAAAUCCGAUAACUGGGGCUAAGUCGUAACAAGGUA